UACGGAGGGGGCUAGCGUUGUUCGGAAUUACUGGGCGUAAAGCGCACGUAGGCGGCUUUGUAAGUUAGAGGUGAAAGCCCGGGGCUCAACUCUGGAAUUGCCUUUAAGACUGCAUCGCUAGAAUUGUGUAGAGGUAAGUGGAAUUCCGAGUGUAGAGGUGAAAUUCGUAGAUAUUCGGAAGAACACCAGUGGCGAAGGCGACUUACUGGACACAUAUUGACGCUGAGGUGCGAAAGCGUGGGGAGCAAACAGG
rnacentral:rRNA from 1 species